rnacentral:tRNA from 2 species
GGAGAGGUGCCUGAGUGGCCGAAAGGAGCGGUUUGCUAAAUCGUCGUACCCCAAAAGGGUACCCAGGGUUCGAAUCCCUGUCUCUCCGCAA